rnacentral:rRNA from 1 species
ACACUCCUACGGGAGGCAGCAGUGGGGAAUAUUGGACAAUGGGCGCAAGCCUGAUCCAGCCAUGCCGCGUGAGUGAUGAAGGCCCUAGGGUUGUAAAGCUCUUUCACCGGUGAAGAUAAUGACGGUAACCGGAGAAGAAGCCCCGGCUAACUUCGUGCCAGCAGCCGCGGUAAUACGAAGGGGGCUAGCGUUGUUCGGAUUUACUGGGCGUAAAGCGCACGUAGGCGGACUAUUAAGUCAGGGGUGAAAUCCCGGGGCUCAACCCCGGAACUGCCUUUGAUACUGGUAGUCUUGAGUUCGAGAGAGGUGAGUGGAAUUCCGAGUGUAGAGGUGAAAUUCGUAGAUAUUCGGAGGAACACCAGUGGCGAAGGCGGCUCACCGGCUCGAUACUGACGCUGAGGUGCGAAAGCGUGGGGAGCAAACAGGAUUAGAAACCCCUGUAGUCC